rnacentral:rRNA from 1 species
CGUGUAGGCGGCUACGUAAGUCGGGCGUGAAAUCCCACGGCUCAACUGUGGAAGAGCACUCGAAACUGCGUAGCUAGAGUCCUGGAGAGGAAGGUGGAAUACUUGGUGUAGAGGUGAAAUUCGUAGAUAUCAAGUGGAACACCAGUGGCGAAGGCGGCCUUCUGGACAGUGACUGACGCUGAGACGCGAAAGCGUGGGGAGCAAACAGGAUUAGAUACCCUGGUAGUCCACGCCGUAAACGAUGAGUGCUAGGUGUCACGGGCUUUGACCCUCGUGGUGCCGCAGCUAACGCGCUAAGCACUCCGCCUGGGGAGUACGGCCGCAAGGCUAAA